rnacentral:SRP_RNA from 14 species
GACAACGAGUUUCUCCAAGGCCCUCAGGCCUCGCUACCCACGCUAAUGGAGGCGUGGCACGUGCUCUCGAGCCGCUACGAGGCGAGCGUGAACCGCGCCAGGCUGGACAC